CGGGGGAGACGGAUGCUCGCCGGGUGCACAAUCACCGGGAGGAAAGUCCGAGCUCCACAAGUGACCGAAGGGUGCUGGCUAACGGCCAGUGGGCGAAAGCCCGAGGAAAGUGCAACAGAGAAUCAGACCAGCCCGACGCUCGAAAGGGCCUCGGACGGUGCAGUGAAACGGUGCGGUAAGAGCGCACCGCGCUGGCGGUGACGUCAGCGGUCCGGCAAACCCCACCCGGAGCAAGAUCGAACAGGGAGUCAUCCUCGUGAGAGGUCGGAGCGUCGGUCCGCUUCGUGUGCUCCCGGGUAAUAGAUCGCUCGAGCCCGUCGGCAACGAUCGGGCCUAGAGGAAUGAGCGUCCCCUGCGAGCGGGUGACCCAUCGCGGGGACAGAACUCGGCUUACAAGCUCCCUCGGCGU
rnacentral:RNase_P_RNA from 1 species